rnacentral:rRNA from 1 species
AUUGAACGCUGGCGGCAGGCCUAACACAUGCAAGUCGAGCGGCAGCACUUCGGGUGGCGAGCGGCGGACGGGUGAGUAACACGUAGGAAUCUACCUAGUAGUGGGGGAUAGCCCGGGGAAACUCGGAUUAAUACCGCAUACGCUCUACGGAGGAAAGGGGGCUUCGGCUCUCGCUAUUAGAUGAGCCUGCGUCGGAUUAGCUAGUUGGUGAGGUAAAGGCUCACCAAGGCGACGAUCCGUAACUGGUCUGAGAGGAUGAUCAGUCACACUGGAACUGAGACACGGUCCAGACUCCUACGGGAGGCAGCAGUGGGGAAUAUUGGACAAGUGGGGGAAACCCUGAUCCAGCCAUGCCGCGUGUGUGAAGAAGGCC